AUGUUUGACCUCGGAUCAGGUAGGGAUACCC
rnacentral:rRNA from 1 species